AGCGAACGCUGGCGGCAGGCUUAACACAUGCAAGUCGAGCGCCCCGCAAGGGGAGCGGCAGACGGGUGAGUAACGCGUGGGAAUCUACCCAUCUCUACGGAAUAACGCAUGGAAACGUGUGCUAAUACCGUAUACGUCCUUCGGGAGAAAGAUUUAUCGGAGAUGGAUGAGCCCGCGUUGGAUUAGCUAGUUGGUGGGGUAAAGGCCUACCAAGGCGACGAUCCAUAGCUGGUCUGAGAGGAUGAUCAGCCACACUGGGACUGAGACACGGCCCAGACUCCUACGGGAGGCAGCAGUGGGGAAUAUUGGACAAUGGGCGCAAGCCUGAUCCAGCCAUGCCGCGUGAGUGAUGAAGGCCCUAGGGUUGUAAAGCUCUUUCACCGGUGAAGAUAAUGACGGUAACCGGAGAAGAAGCCCCGGCUAACUUCGUGCCAGCCGCCGCAGUAAGAC
rnacentral:rRNA from 1 species